UCUCUGCUCCACCCCCCCUUCAAAACUCAAAUGCUCUCUCUCUCUCUCUAGGUUCUCUACUCUGCGAUGGCCGACGAGAUUAAUCAGUUUCCGGCCUCACCCAAGUUUUUCACUGAUUGGGUUUCGACUGCUUUGAGCAGUUCAGAGAGUUGGUUGAUGAUACCUGGAUUCCAGACAAUAACUACAGAUUACUAGAAUAAAAUUCCUCAUCAUUAUUGCUGGCAUGGAAGUAUCUUGUAGGACCAUGCAAGUGGUAUGCAAUGCACAGUGAAAUCUUAAUUGAUCCCCUACAUUUUCUUGAUAAUGCUCUAUUCAUGAAUGAUGUGGAUGGUGCCAUGUGAAUAUCUGGUACAAUUGUGGUGUUAUUUGUAGCGACGGUGAGACGAUUACGUCGUUUCUGAUGUGGGAAAAUGAUGUGAUGAUCUAUUGUCAUUUUCCCUGUUCCACCACUGGUACUUAAGCUUUGUAAUAGACAAGCACAUUCCAGUAGUCGUGUCAACCUUACAAAUUUCUGGUGGGGGGUUGAUUUUAAUUAGAAUGCCUGUUCUUGCUUUGCUUUCCCUUUUACGUGCAUUGUGCUACCGACAUAUUGUUUAUAAAUUAAUGCUUAGCUAGUAGUACAGAAAAUGCUUGUAGGUUUGCAUGACUGAUACCAGAGCCAUCAAACACAUCUUUUACGCCUUUCGAUCAGUUGUCCUUCUGGUGCCUGGCAUAAUGAACGAAACCACAAGUUUUCUGUACUAGUGAAUUUGAUAGGCUUUGCUGAAUACACUAUGCCAGUCACGCAAUUGGUGUUAGUUUGACCCUGUAUGACAGAAUUGGAAGCAUGCACAGAUGGGGUCGGUGAAGUUGAAGCCUUGAAGCGCAUAAAUUGGU